rnacentral:rRNA from 1 species
GACGAACGCUGGCGGCGUGCUUAACACAUGCCAGUCGAACGGAAAGGCCCUGCUUGCAGGGUGCUCGAGUGGCGAACGGGUGAGUAACACGUGGGUGAUCUGCCCCUUACUUUGGGAUAAGCCUGGGAAACUGGGUCUAGUACUGGAUAGGGCCAUGCUGUAGGUGGUGUGGUGGAAAGAUUAGUUUCGGUAAGGGAUGAGCUCGCGGCCUAUCAGCUUGUUGGUGGGGUAAUGGCCUACCAAGGCGUCGACGGGUAGCCGGCCUGAGAGGGUGGACGGCCACAUUGGGACUGAGAUACGGCCCAGACUCCUACGGGAGGCAGCAGUGGGGAAUAUUGCACAAUGGGCGCAAGCCUGAUGCAGCGACGCCGCGUGGGGGAUGACGGCCUUCGGGUUGUAAACUCCUUUCAGCCAUGACGAAGCCCUUGUGGUGACGGUAGUGGUAGAAGAAGCACCGGCUAACUACGUG